GACGAACGCUGGCGGCGUGCUUAACACAUGCAAGUCGAACGGAAAGGCCCUGCUUGCCGGGUACUCGAGUGGCGAACGGGUGAGUAACACGUGGGUGAUCUGCCCCGCACUUCGGGAUAAGCCUGGGAAACUGGGUCUAAUACCGGAUAGGAGCCAUUUUUAGUGUGAUGGUUGGAAAGUUUUUUCGGUGUAGGAUGAGCUCGCGGCCUAUCAGCUUGUUGGUGGGGUAAUGGCCUACCAAGGCGGCGACGGGUAGCCGGCCUGAGAGGGUGGACGGCCACAUUGGGACUGAGAUACGGCCCAGACUCCUACGGGAGGCAGCAGUGGGGAAUAUUGCACAAUGGGCGCAAGCCUGAUGCAGCGACGCUGCGUGGGGGAUGACGGCCUUCGGGUUGUAAACUCCUUUCGCUAGGGACGAAGCUUUUUGUGACGGUACCUAGAUAAGAAGCACCGGCUAACUACGUG
rnacentral:rRNA from 1 species